rnacentral:rRNA from 1 species
AAACGCUUAAAGUCCAGUCGCGUUGGUUAGGAAUCAGCCUUGGUUUUCCUUGGUGUACUUCCUAAUCGACGGGUCAACAUCAGUUUUGACCGUUGGAUAAAGGUUGAGGGAAUGUGGCACCUUCGGGUGUGUUAUAGCCCUUGAUUGUAUACAGCGGUUGGGACUGAGGAACUCAGCACGCCGAAAGGCCGGGUCUUGUACCACGUUCGUGCUUAGGAUGUUGGCAUAAUGGCUUUAAUCGA